UCAAUAUUCAACAAACUUAACGUAUAGAUAGGAUUCGAACACGAAUCGAGCGAAGGAUUUUGAAAUCUUGUAGAAGAGACAAUGCACUUGUACAGUUGAAUUCAGUCAGAAUCAGAGUCAUGCGUCAUCUCUUUUUGUUUUUGUUUUUUUCUUCAUCACGCCUCAUCUUUCUAUCCUUCUUGUGCUUCUUCUACCUGCUCAGUCCGCUGAGAAAUAGAAUGUCAGUCAAAAUGUCUAAACUGAGAAGAUAAAUAAGACCCUAACGAAAGUUCAACAAGCUAUGAAGAGUGAUAAACUCUACACUGAAUACAAAUAUCUACAAACCAUGAAGCUGAUACCAGAAACAAUGAAACAAGCUAUGCAUUAAGAUUUCAGGGUUCACAAGACUAGAAUCCAGUAAAUGCUAAAGGCGGAUCAACUAAACUCUGCACAUUUUUACAAACAAUUUCUAAUUAAUAAUACAGUCACAAUCCCACGUCUUCAUAUUUAAAACAAAAUAACCAAAAACGAACCACUCCCGAGUUUGGUAGAGUUGCCUAUACAGCUCUGUGAUUGAGAAGACCCACUUUAAGGACUCCUCAGUUAUAUGGUUAAGGCUCUCUCUGCGUUGAUGUCCAUACUGUUUCUCCUUUCUAAAACAUUUGAGUAUUGACAACUUCUACAAACUCUAGUCUCCCUUCACAACAGUAACACCAACCACAGUUCUGGAUGUUUCUUCACUAAUUUUAGGAAGUUUUACAAUUCCUUAUACCAAGAGAUUAUUAGCUCUCUUGAACAUUCUCAAUCUCAAAUUUCUAAGCACAUGCCUCUAAGCAAUUAAUCCAUCUCAAUUUCAGAAACUUUCUUCGCACUGAGAUGGAAGACGCUUACCUGAAUUCGUCUGAGAAAGGCAGAGUUUGAAUCAUGAGUAAAAACCCAUUUUAUUCAAGGACAUCAUCAGCAGUUGCUUGUUCAAACACAUAAGGCUAUGUAUGAAUGAUAGCAGCAAAAGAAGAAACUCAAAUAGAGGAUUUUGAGACUAUUAACUUUUUCAGAGAGUCCAUCAAAGCUUUGAAGAUCAAACGCUCACAAAGAAAAUCAAAGGCCGUUCUUGUGAAGCUGAAUACUAUACAGAUCGAUCAAUUUCUAAAAUGUGAUUCGAUUGCAGAUGUCUCUAAGUCAUUACGAAACUACGCAAAGCUGUAAGUAAAGAUCAAACGGAGACGAUUGAUUUCGAAAAAAAAAACAGACAGAACUAUGUUGUCCUGAUGCGACAUAGGACCAAAGAUCUGCUACUUUGGAAGAUUUGUCUUAAAG
rnacentral:lncRNA from 1 species